rnacentral:lncRNA from 1 species
UUAGGUUUUCAAAUCAAAAAUACUUAAUAAAACACAAAAAUGACUAAAUAAAAGGACGUCGAUGAAGAGGAAGACCAAGGCGGAACUAGUAAAAGUGGAAGUUGUGUUGUAUCAGAACGACGGAACUCGCUGUGAAUGCAUAUUAACAGUCCUCAACCAACAAGACUCCUAUCUUCUUCUUUGUCGUUCCCACACUGCUGAGGAUCGCGACCACAGGUUAUGGUUUUCCACUUGGUACGGCUAUAUGCUGCGUGCACCGCCCUCUGUAUGCUGCCGUCCACCGUCUUCUUCACGAUGUCAGACCACCUCGUAGGCGCCCUUCCUCGCGCACGUUUGCUAUCCAUUUGCCCAACGAUGAUCUGCUUCUCCAGACUGUGCUUCGGAGACCGCAUAAUAUGUCCGAAGAAGCUUAGGGCACGAUUCCGGCAUAUUGAGGAGAGCCGCGUCGUGAUCUUGAGCUCUUUUAAUAUGGACUCAUUCGUACACGUAAAUAGCCUUAAAUUACCAAGUAGAGAAAGUCCACCAUGAGGUGAGCACGAAGUUUUGAAGACAGGAGUGAUUGUAUUAGAUUUCCUCCUGAGCAGUUGCACUACAAAUUUAGUGAUGAAGAGGUGAGUGAUCGAAAAAAUAUGUCAUAGAAGAACUUGUAGACAUCAUAUUAAUCUGAGUUACUUGUAUUAAUCAGAUUUUUUACUAAUUUUCAGGCAAUACUUGACAGAAACCUUAAGUUGGAUGACAUAAUUAUAAAGAAAAUCAAUAAGAGGAUGAACUCUUUUAAUGUUUAUAAAACAAUAGUAUGGAAGAAUUUUGAUGCAUCUUGGAGCAAUGGCAACAUAUUUGGGAGUUGAGAGUGACAACGAGCAGAUUACAUAACAAUGGGAGGAUAACAAGGGCCUUAACUGAAAAAACUGGUGAAUGUUCCCAAAUAAACCUCACAGAUGUAGAAGAAAGACAAAAUAAAUUUGUUUAUUUAUUUUAUUUCUGUUCCCUACUAAACUAGUAAUAAAACAUACUUGUUACAAAUA